rfam:Stegodyphus mimosarum contig60619, whole genome shotgun sequence.
GCCUUCGUGGUGUAGUGGUCAGCACGCUCGGCGCGUAUUCGAGAGGUCCGUGGUUCGAGUCCCGGCGAAGAUA